AUGUCGCUUUCUAACAAGCUGACCCUGGACAAGCUGGACGUGAAAGGGAAGCCAGUCAUUAUAAGAGUCGACUUCAAUGUUCCUACGAAGAACAACCAGAUAACAAACAACCAGAGGAUUAAGGCUGCUGCCCCAAGCAUCAAAUUCUGCUUGGACAAUGGAUCCAAGUCAGUAGUUCUUAUGAGACACCUAGGCCGGCCUGAUGGUGUCCCUAUGCCUGACAAGUACUCCUUAGAGCCAGUUGCUGUAGAACUCAAAUCUCUGCUGGGCAAAGAUGUUCUGUUCUUGAAGGACUGUGUAGGCCCAGAAGUGGAGAAAACCUGUACCAACCCAGCUGCUGGGUCUGUCAUCCUGCAGGAGAACCUCCGCUUUCAGGUAGAGGAAGAGGGAAAGGAAAAGAUGCUUCUGGAAACAAGGCUAAAGCCGAGCCAGCCAAAUUAGCAGCUUUCCAAGCUUCACUUCCCAAGUUAGGGGAUGUCUAUGUCAGUGAUGCUUUUGGCACUGCUCACAGAGCCCACAGCUCCAUGGCAGAAGUCAAUCUGCCACAGAAGGCUGGUGGUUUUUUGAUGAAGAAGGAGCUGAACUACUUUGCCAAGGACUUGGAGAGCCCAGAGCGACACUUCCUGGCCAUCCUGGGCAGAGCUAAAGUUGCAGACAAGAUCCAGCUGAUCAAGAAUAUACUGGACAAAGUCAAUGAGAUGAUUAUUGGUGGUGGAAUGGCUUUUACCUUCCUUAAGGUGCUCAACAACAUGGAGAUUGGCACUUCUCUGUUUGAUGAAGAGGGAGCCAAGAUUGUCAAAGACCUAAUGUCUAAAGCUGAGAAGAAUGGUGUGAAGAUUAUCUUGCCUGUUGACUUUGUCGCUGCUGGCAAGUUUGAUGAGAAUGCCAAGACUGGCCAAGCCACUGUGGCUUCUGGCAUAUCUGCUGGCAGGAUGGGCUUGGACUGUGGUCCUGAAAGCAGCAAGAAGUAUGCUGAGGCUGUCACUCGGGCUAAGCAGAUUGUGUGGAAUGGUCCUGUGGGGGUUUUUGGGAUCCCUCCUCUGAAAAUCGCCCUGGAACACGUGUGGUUUGCAAUUUCCUGCAAAGCCGCUGCUCAUGAUGUUAUCCUACAAACAUCCAAAUCCCGGCAUAUGAGUUUCUCCAGGGCAGUCUCUGACUGGUUCCAUUGUAGGAUCUGUCCAUGCCCUGCAUACGCCUGGUACCAAAAAAGGAAACUGGGUCUGCAGGACGUUGCUGCAGUUCAGGCGUUGGCCGUGUGGGAGCAGAAGUGCAAAGUCAAAGCGUCUGGAAAAAGCGCUCAGGUUGUGGGACCAGCAGAGCAUCACCGAGGACGUCCCUGGUCGAGAACUAUGUCUUUUUAUCCAUUUUAA